CAGCCGCCGCGGGAAUACGAAGGGGGCUAGCGUUGUUCGGAAUCACUGGGCGUAAAGGGUGCGCAGGCUGGUUCUUAAGUCAGGGGUGAAAUCCCGAGGCUCAACCUCGGAACGGCCUUUGAUACUGGGGAUCUUGAGUCCGGGAGAGGUGAGUGGAACUGCGAGUGUAGAGGUGAAAUUCGUAGAUAUUCGCAAGAACACCAGUGGCGAAGGCGGCUCACUGGCCCGGAACUGACGCUGAGGUGCGAAAGCGUGGGGAGCAAACAGGAUUAGAUACCCCUGUAGUCCCUGUCUCUUAUCC
rnacentral:rRNA from 1 species